AUACUCUUGUUUCUCUUCAGAUCGUAUAAAUCUUUCGCCUUUUACUAAAGAUUUCCGUGGAGAAGAAUCCCUUUCAUUCUAACUGGACCUAUUGGAGCAGUUCUCCAGCAUUUU